rnacentral:rRNA from 1 species
AACGAACGCUGGCGGCAGGCUUAACACAUGCAAGUCGAACGCCCCGCAAGGGGAGUGGCAGACGGGUGAGUAACGCGUGGGAAUCUACCCAGUUCUACGGAACAACUGAGGGAAACUUCAGCUAAUACCGUAUACGCCCUACGGGGGGAAGAUUUAUCGGAAUUGGAUGAGCCCGCGUUGGAUUAGCUAGUUGGUGGGGUAAUGGCCUACCAAGGCGACGAUCCAUAGCUGGUCUGAGAGGAUGAUCAGCCACACUGGGACUGGAGACACGGCCCAGACUCCUACGGGAGGCAGCAGUGGGGAAUAUUGGACAAUGGGCGCAAGCCUGAUCCAGCCAUGCCGCGUGAGUGAUGAAGGCCUUAGGGUUGUAAAGCUCUUUCAGUGGGGACGAUAAUGACGGUACCCACAGAAGAAGCCCCGGCUAACUUCGUGCCAGCCGCCGCCGUAAUAC